rnacentral:lncRNA from 1 species
AGAAUCAUUUGCAUCUUGGAGGCAGAGUUUGCAGUGAGCUGACAUCGCACCACUGCGCUCCAGCCGGGAUGACAGAACAAGACCCUGUCUCAAAAAAAAGAAAAAGGAACAAACAACAGCAACGACAACAAAAAAACCUCUGUGUCAAUCACAGCCUUCAAGCUAGGGGAGAGGCGGCCGAAUUCUGCCCUCUGCUAACUAACUAUAGCUUUGUGGAAAUGGGUGAAUGGCGUGCCCUUGUGAGCCUCAGGGCCCCAUCUGUAAAAUGGGCAUAACUGUCAUGCCCGUCUUUAAGAACAGCCUUGGGGGUAAAUGAGUGGAAGUCAUGGAAAGAUCUCAGCCCACAACCUUCCACAGAACAGACGCUUCUCACACAAUACGGGGUCUCACUGUGUUGCCCAGGGUGGUUUCAAAAUCCUGGGCCCAGGCGAUCCUUCCGUCUCAGCUCCCACGGUGCUGUGUUACCGGCGUGUGCCCCAGUGCCUGGCCGUCUUGGAGGUCUUGUUUCUCUGGGUUUAUGCCUCAAGGUGGCGCCUGCUCCCCUGUGCUCCCUGGUAGCCUGGUAGUGAGCCUGCUUCUCACACAGUCAUACCUGGUUGUGGUCCCACAGUGGGACCACCCUGUUGGGUUCAGAACAGGAGAUGGGGGCCCCUCGAGUCUGUGUGGGGGCUGUGGACAGGGUUGGGAGACCUUGGCUCUGUGGGGGACUGUGGACAGGGGAUGGGGGGCCUUGGCCCUGCGUGGGAUGGGUUGGGGGUCCGUGCCCUUCCUGGCCCUGGGUGGACAGGUCCAGGUGGCACUCGGCAUAGGGCUGAGAUGGGUGCAGAGGGCUGAGGCCCCCAGGCCUCUCCUGGCUUGG